GGGAGAUGACUGACACUGCAAGGAGUCAACAAGAGAGGGGUAUGCUGGACAUUCAUGUCAGAAAAAGCUGACUCACAGAGGUAUGUAGACCCAAACUAAGCAGACAUUUUCAUAGCUGCUUGGUGAAGAUUUUCAUUGUUAUCUGGCUCUACCAAGCUCCAGAAAUGCUGUGAAUGCUGCUGAGACUUCAACUGCACAUUAUUUUGAAGUUUAUAACCUCCUUUUCCAUUUCCACAGGAUCAACACAGAAAAGUUCAGCCAUCUGUCGUGAAAUCUCACUUAUGUCCACAUCCAUGAAAGGGUUGGCCAUAAAUGUCACACAGGGCUCAAGUUUCUCAAAGUCACUGAAUCUGUCAGCAAACUUAUGUCCAAGCCUUGAUAAGAGGUCACAAUACUUGGAUACAUUUAAAACGCUGGCUGCACCUGUGUGACUGUCAAGCAUCUUUGAGACAAGUGCUGAAAUCUUUUGUUUUUCACUUGCUGAAUGUACAAUGACAGUUUUGCACUGAACACCUUGACAGCACUGAUCAUGUCGGAAAACAAAUUCAUUCAUUUGUAUUUAAUCAAUUGGUCCUCAUUGGUCAUGUGAAACUAAAUUGAAACGCCUUACAACUCCUUUGAGAGGGUUUCACUUCUCCCUUUGAGUAAAAUAGUAAACUGCAUUGAACAGCUAGGAGUCCUCUGAAUUCAGUACAAUCAAACUGUACUGAAAGUAAAACUAUAUGUUAUGAAUGUCGUUGUCAUGGCUCUGCUCCUCUCCUGCUCCCUUUGCUCCUCCUCCUUCACUGUGUGUGUGUCUAAUGAAGGUGCGGUCUCCAUUCACCUCACCUGUGCGUUGUCUCACCUGCUCUUCAUCUACUCAUUAGUCUCAGCCCUCAAGAACCCCGGUCUUCCUUUCUUUCGGCGCCAGAUUGUUUUUUAGCAGACUUGGUGGUACUCUUGUGCCUCCUCUCAGUGAGUAGCUUGCUCCUUCCUGUACCUGCUCUCCCGUCAGAUCUCCAUAUCUCCAGAGUUCCAGAGAUCCUUCCCGUGCAGUUCAGGUUCCAGAGUCAGCUUUCCAGUGCCUCCAUGUCUUCGGUCUCUCUGCCAGUUCACCAGCCUCCCGUGCUGUUCGGUUCCCAGAGUCGGCUCUCUAGUGCUUCCGUGUCUCCGCUCUCCCUGCCGUUUCUCCUGCCCAUUCCUGCCGAGGCCACCCCUCAUUUCCCCCAGUGUGUGUUAAAUAAAGCCCCUUAAAACCCUUA